rnacentral:misc_RNA from 1 species
AGCAGCCGCGGUAAUUCCAGCUCCAAUAGCGUAUAUUAAAGUUGUUGCAGUUAAAAAGCUCGUAGUUGAAUUUCGGGAUCAAUAUGUUGGUCGUGCCUCGGUACGUACUAGCAUAUUGGUUUCUCCUUUCUGAAGAACCAUGAUGCCAUUUAUUUGGUGUCGUGGGGAAUCAGGACUGUUACUUUGAAAAAAUUAGAGUGUUUAAAGCAGGCUCACGCUUGAAUACAUUAGCAUGGAAUAAUGAAAUAGGACGUUUGAUUCUAUUUUGUUGGUUUCUAGGAUCGACGUAAUGAUUAAUAGGGAUAGUUGGGGGCAUUAGUAUUCAAUUGUCAGAGGUGAAAUUCUUGGAUUUAUUGAAGACUAACUACUGCGAAAGCAUUUGCCAAGGAUGUUUUCAUUAAUCAAGAACGAAAGUUAGGGGAUCGAAGACGAUCAGAUACCGUCGUAGUCUUAACCAUAAACUAUGCCGACUAGGGAUCGGAUGAUGUUAAUUUUUAAUGACUCAUUCGCGCCUUAACC